rnacentral:lncRNA from 1 species
CAGGACCCUCGAAGGAGAAGGAAAUCGGGACUGGCCCAGCGUCCCGUGCUCUAGAAGGCGGGCUACUGCCCCGUCCCAAGCAGGGGAGGAGGACGAGCGAGGGCGUCACUCAUUCUGUCCCCCGCGGAAGGAUGAGGAAGCUCUGUUUACCUAAAUGAAAAGCUUUCUAGGAGGAAGUCCUAAGUGAACAAUGAUGCAUGAGGAUGCAAUCUUACAGGCAAGGAGCCCAGUGAUAACAAAUGGCUGUAGAUGCUUUUCCUCCAUCAAGCUUCCAGGAGGAGAUGAGAUGGAGCCCAUCGCUGAGCCAAGGUCACCAGCCCCAUUUCACAAAUGUAAAUAGCAGGUGUCCCCCACACAGUCUGAACACUUGGAGGCCAAGAUUCAUUUCUCUCAGGGCCCACCAUCCUCAAGCAUGGGAUUGAUUUAGUGCCUCUUGCUGGGAAGCAAAGUUCUGGGAGCCAUAGUGGGAUCCUCCCUCCCUCCCUGCAGGAGACUGGGGCCCUUCCAAGCAGCAACUGAGACCAGUCAACAACCUCUGCCUUAGGCCAGGCGCGGUGGCUCACGCCUGUAAUCCCAACACUUUGGGAGGCUGAGGCGGGCAGAUCAUCUGAGGUCAGGAGUUCAAAACCAUCCUGGCCAACAUGGUGAAACCCCGUCUCUACUAAAAAUACAAAAAUUAGCUGGGCGUGGUGGUGCGUGCCUGUUGUCCUAGCUACUCCGGAGGCCAAGGCAGGAGAAUUCCUUGAACCUGGGAGACAGAGGUUGCAGGUCUGAGAUUGC